CUGCAAUUUUAAUGGCAAGGGUCGGCAUCAGGUAUUUUCAGUCAUGGAUGGUGGUUGUUCCAGCCCUUUUGAUCUCUCCUUAGAAAUCUUCAAACUCUCCUACAUUAGAAACCAUAGCUGAAGAAGGCAAAGCAGGUGGAGGAGAUUA